rnacentral:rRNA from 1 species
UACGGGGAGGGCAAGCGUUGUUCGGAAUUAUUGGGCGUAAAGGGCGCGUAGGCGGCCUGACAAGUGGAAGGUGAAAUCCCUCGGCUUAACCGAGGAACUGCCCUCCAAACUGUCUGGCUUGAGACCGGGAGAGGUGAGUGGAAUUCCCAGUGUAGCGGUGAAAUGCGUAGAUAUUGGGAGGAACACCAGUGGCGAAGGCGGCUCACUGGACCGGUACUGACGCUGAGGCGCGAAAGCGUGGGGAGCAAACGGG